ensembl:snoRNA LOC120094490 small nucleolar RNA SNORA17
CUUGCCCCUAGAGACUUUGCAGGUGUGGCUGCUGUGUCACAUGUGUGUCAGUAGGUGGCAGAGAGGAGAGAGGCUAUGGCUACAGUUCUGACCUAUGAACAUCUGAAUGAUUAGUGGCCCAACCUU